rnacentral:rRNA from 1 species
UACGAAGGGGGCUAGCGUUGUUUGGAUUUACUGGGCGUAAAGCGCACGUAGGCGGAUUGUUAAGUCGGGGGUGAAAUCCUGGAGCUCAACUCCAGAAUUGCCUUCGAUACUGGCUUUCUAGAGGCUGGAAGAGGUUAGUGGAAUUCCCAGUGUAGAGGUGAAAUUCGUAGAUAUUGGGAAGAACACCAGUGGCGAAGGCGGCUAACUGGUCCAGAUCUGACGCUGAGGUGCGAAAGCGUGGGGAGCAAACAGG